UACGGGGGGAGCAAGCGUUGUUCGGAUUUACUGGGCGUAAAGGGCGCGUAGGCGGUCAGCACAAGUCAGUUGUGAAAUCUCCGGGCUUAACUCGGAAAGGUCAACUGAUACUGUGCGACUAGAGUGCAGAAGGGGCAACUGGAAUUCUCGGUGUAGCGGUGAAAUGCGUAGAUAUCGAGAGGAACACCUGCGGCGAAGGCGGGUUGCUGGGCUGACACUGACGCUGAUGCGCGAAAGCCAGGGGAGAGAUCCGG
rnacentral:rRNA from 1 species